rnacentral:rRNA from 1 species
UAGGGAAUCUUCGGCAAUGGACGAAAGUCUGACCGAGCAACGCCGCGUGAGUGAAGAAGGUUUUCGGAUCGUAAAACUCUGUUGUUAGAGAAGAACAAGGACGUUAGUAACUGAACGUCCCCUGACGGUAUCUAACCAGAAAGCCACGGCUAACUACGUGCCAGCAGCCGCGGUAAUACGUAGGUGGCAAGCGUUGUCCGGAUUUAUUGGGCGUAAAGCGAGCGCAGGCGGUUUCUUAAGUCUGAUGUGAAAGCCCCCGGCUCAACCGGGGAGGGUCAGUGGAAACUGGGGGACUUGAGUGCAGAAGAGGAGAGUGGAAUUCCAUGUGUAGCGGUGAAAUGCGUAGAUAUAUGGAGGAACACCAGUGGCGAAGGCGGCUCUCUGGUCUGUAACUGACGCUGAGGCUCGAAAGCGUGGGGAGCAAACAGG